AAAUCCGUCGACUUUAAAAAUCGUGAGGGUUCAAGUCCCUCUAUNCCCAA
rnacentral:tRNA from 1 species